AUGGAAGUUGAAGACACCUUGGUGCUUCCUUUUUUUGGGUUGCUUGCAAGUUUAUCCAGAACGUGGCCAUGCUGGCAUCACCCUCCCAGACCCCAUGCGAUGACUUCUGAAGCCUCCUCGCCCAUCGCCCCUGCGGGCACCAGUGCAGAUGAAUUCUCCUCUCCUGGCCCACGCUGCAAAACUCCAGCACGUGUGACCUGGCAUCAUGCUCGGCUGCCUUGCCUGCUCACUGCUGCCUUAUUCCUGCCUUCGAGCCCAAUGCUGGAGAGCUGCUGAAGCCCGGUACCCUGUAGGUGUCCCUGAAAUUGCUUGUGUGAGGUGGGGAGAGCAUGGGGGGGGCUCGCGUAAUUGAAACAAUCCUUCUCUCAAUCACCGUUCGGCAAUGUUGAUGCCUCACGCUUUGCCUCUGAUGUCGAGAGCAAGCUGAUAGCCACAGUAUUAAUAAGUUGUUUGUACAAUAAUUGCUGCUUAAGAUAAAUGAUUCAUAAAGUCCUACCAUGGUCUUGGAAAUGGUGUAAACAGGGAGAGCAGCUGGAGGACAGCCGUGGGAUGCUAAUGAGAGACCACCACGGGGGAGUAAAUAUAUGAAGACUGGGGAGAAGGGGA
rnacentral:lncRNA from 1 species